UACGGAGGAUGCGAGCGUUAUCCGGAUUUAUUGGGUUUAAAGGGUGCGUAGGCGGAACAAUAAGUCAGUGGUGAAAGACUGCAGCUUAACUGUAGACUUGCCGUUGAUACUGUUGAUCUUGAGUAUGGUCAAGGCAGGCGGAAUGUGUAAUGUAGCGGUGAAAUGCUUAGAUAUUACACAGAACACCGAUUGCGAAGGCAGCUUGCUGGGCCAUUACUGACGCUGAUGCACGAAAGCGUGGGGAUCGAA
rnacentral:rRNA from 1 species